rnacentral:rRNA from 1 species
UACGAAGGGGGCUAGCGUUGUUCGGAAUUACUGGGCGUAAAGCGCACGUAGGCGGACUUGUUAGUCAGGGGUGAAAUCCCGGGGCUCAACCUCGGAAUUGCCUUUGAUACUGCAAGUCUCGAGUCCGGAAGAGGUGAGUGGAAUUCCGAGUGUAGAGGUGAAAUUCGUAGAUAUUCGGAAGAACACCGGUGGCGAAGGCGACUCACUGGCACAGUACUGACGCUGAGGUGCGAAAGCGUGGGGAGCAAACAGG